AGAAAACUGAAUUAUCGCCUUUUUCCGAUUAAGACCGGACAACUGAAGGUCAUGUAAACACUUUAGUCCGACUAUAAUCAGAGUUUGAGAACUCUGAUUAAGACACCCAGAUAAUGAGAUUGGAAUUUGAUUUUCUCUACCAUGUAACCAGCGUAGUCGGAGUAUGAAGCCACGCCCCCGUAACCCCGUAACAAAACCCCCAGAGUAGAGGAGUAGCGUUGGUCUCCUCUUUAGAAAAAGUGGCGCGUCCAUCAUGUCGGACAAAAACAACGCUGUACGAUGCUCCAUCUUCUUGUUUCUCCAAAAUGCCCAGCAGCAGUUGUAGACACUUCUGACGUCUGAAAAGACCCAUAUCGCCCCCUAGUGUUGGGGAGGAGGACACGUUCACGUCAAUAAUUCGAUUUUCUCAGCUGCAUGUAAACGAGGACGAGGAGAGAAGUCUGAUUCAGAGAAGAAGACGAAUUAUGAGUUUAGUCUGAUUAAACUGAGACUGUAAACG